CGUAGGGGGAACCUGCGGAGGGAUCAUUACCGAGUUUACAACUCCCAAACCCCUGUGAACAUACCUAUAAUUUUGCCUCGGCAGACUCAACGACGGUGCUCCGAGAAAUCGGGCGCCGCUCGCUGCCAGAGGAACCCCAAACUCUAUGUAUUCUUGUGGAUCUUCUGAGUAAAACAAAACAAAUAAAUCAAAACUUUCAACAACGGAUCUCUUGGUUCUGGCAUCGAUGAAGAACGCAGCGAAAUGCGAUAAGUAAUGUGAAUUGCAGAAUUCAGUGAAUCAUCGAAUCUUUGAACGCACAUUGCGCCCGCCAGUAUUCUGGCGGGCAUGCCUGUUCGAGCGUCAUUUCAACCCUCAAGCCCCCGGGCUUGGUGUUGGGGAUCGGCGAUAGUCGCCGUCCCCCAAAUCUAGUGGCGGUCUCGCUGUAGCCUCCAUUGCGUAGUAGCUAACACCUCGCAACUGGAACGCGGCGCGGCCAAGCCGUUAAACCCCCCCAACUUCUGAAUGUUGACCUCGGAUCAGGUAGGAAUACCCGCUGAACUUAAGCAUAUCAAUA
rnacentral:rRNA from 1 species